rnacentral:rRNA from 1 species
GAUGAACGCUGGCGGCGUGCCUAAUACAUGCAAGUCGAGCGAACGGACGAGAAGCUUGCUUUUCUGAUGUUAGCGGCGGACGGGUGAGUAACACGUGGAUAACCUACCUAUAAGUCUGGGAUAACUUCGGGAAACCGGAGCUAACAGCGGAUAAUAUCUUGAACCGCAUUGUUCAACAGUGAAAGACGGUCUUGCUGUCACUUAUAGAUGGAUCCGCGCUGCAUUAGCUAGUUGGUAAGGUAACGGCUUACCAAGGCCACGAUGCAUAGCCGACCUGAGAGGGUGAUCGGCCACACUGGAACUGAGACACGGCCCAGACUCCUACGGGAGGCAGCAGUAGGGAAUCUUCGGCAAUGGGCGAAAGCCUGACGGAGCAACGCCGCGUGAGUGAAGAAGGUCUUCGGAUCGUAAAACUCUGUUAUUAGGGAAGAACAAGUGUGUAAGUAACUGAGCACAUCUUGACGGUACCUAAUCAGAAAGCCACGGCUAACUACGUG